GUCGAGGUGGCUCAGUGGUUAAGAGCACUGAUUCCCCUUCAAGAGGUCCUGAGUUCAAAUCCCAGCAAUCACA
rnacentral:tRNA from 1 species